AGAGUUUGAUUAUGGCUCAGGAUGAACGCUGGCGGCGUGCUUAACACAUGCAAGUCGAACGGAGCCAAGAGAUGCUUGCAUCUCUGAAGCUUAGUGGCGGACGGGUGAGUAACGCGUGAGUAACCUGCCCUUUACCGGGGGAUAACACUUAGAAAUAGGUGCUAAUACCGCAUAAGCGCACAGAGCCGCAUGGUUCAGUGUGAAAAACUCCCGGUGGUAAAGGAUGGACUCGCGUCUGAUUAGCCAGUUGGCAGGGUAACGGCCUACCCAAAGCGACGAUCAGUAGCCGGCCUGAGAGGGUGAACGGCCACAUUGGGACUGAGACACGGCCCAAACUCCUACGGGGGGCAGCAGUGGGGGAUAUUGCACAAUGGGGGAAACCCUGAUGCAGCGACGCCGCGUGAGUGAAGAAGUAUUUCGGUAUGUAAAGCUCUAUCAGCAGGGAAGAAAAUGACGGUACCUGACUAAGAAGCCCCGGCUAACUACGUGCCAGCCGCCGC
rnacentral:rRNA from 1 species